GACCCUUUGGGAUUGGAAUUCUGGGUUUUGCGUGUGAGAGUUUAACUGGCUAAGACCAGGCCAGUACAUGAGCGCAGGCCCAAGAUCCGAAAGGGAAAGUCCUGAACGCCCCCUUCCCCCUGUCUUUUCGGCGGGGCUUUGGGAGUUUGCAGGGUGUUCUGAGUGUUUGGGCCUCAGGGAUUCUCACCUCCGGGAGAUUCCAGGAGCUGUAGGGGGUGGAAUGCGAGUAGGAGGAGAGUUGCAGAUGGAUAUCGUGGCCUGCUGAUGGUUUUGGAGCCCAGGUCCAGACAUUUCUUGAUUGAAGUAGACAUUCAAGAAGUGUGAAAUGCACAGUCAGAAAAUCUGGGACUUCUCUUUUUCCUUGUCAGAAUCAGGAUUGAAAAAUGAUUCAGCGGGGAAUAGCUUCUUUACAGUGAGAGCCCGUGUUAUUGAUUUUUGUGUCUGUAUACAACCUAAAAGAAUGGAGGCGUGUGUCCCUCUCUUUCGGAAAUAAUGAUAUCAUCCAUGUGUAAUUAAUUAUGUGGGGCCCAUGUUGGAAGACUGUGUAGCCAGCUCUUGGCUGUCGAAGCACUGACUACAUGGAUUUAACCUGCCAUUGACAGUGGCGCCAUUUUUCUGGUCCUCCAGAGGAACAUAAACCUGUCCAUUUUACUCAUCUUGAAGGAGUUUUGGCAAAACAUGUAUUAGGGCAGAAAAUGAAACCUCACUAGAGCUCCCUUUGCACUGGAAGGCUGGAGGAAUUUCGUGGACUUGGAGGCUCUGCCCUGUGCUCCACGGCCACAAGCCCUUAAGUGUUGUCUCCACAGCAUUUGCAUUUGCUGUCCUCAAAGCCCCGCUCCUCCCUCUCCCGUCGCUGUCCUCAAAGCCCCGCUCCUCCCUCUCCCGUCGCUGUCCUCAAAGACCCACUCCUCCCUCUCCCAUACACGAUUUUGAGCUAUAUCCUUAAUAUCCAGGUUCCUUUGUGUUUCCUGGUAAUGGGUAGAAGUGCAAGGGGAUUUCAGCUCCCAAGAGACAGGGUUUCCCCGUGCCUAAGACCCCAGGGUUGAUGCUACUCUGUCAUCAAGUGGUGACUGUGACUCUUCCCCCCGCAACCUCAGGAGGUUUUUUUGGACUUCAUCCCAGAUCCUGAGCUGGAGCUGGUCCUGGGAUGCAGAGCGUGCCUGUCCUAGUGAACUGAAGUGUCUCCAAAAGGGUUCCUGAAAACAGAACAAAGUUGCCCAGCCAGGCACGCAGGCCAGGGCAGGAAACUGGCCUUGGGGCCACCUCCGCUCAGGAUGGGGUGGAGGCAAACAGACUUGUGCGUCAUCCUUCACAAAGAAGGUUCUCUCAGAUAUUUGGAUUUCCUUGAGGAGCCCUCAAAGCAAUAAAAUAAUAUGUCCUUCA